UACGAGGGGUGCGAGCGUUAUUCGGAAUUAUUGGGCGUACAGGGUGCGUAGACGGUAUGCUAAGUCAACUGUUAAAUUCCCCGGCUUAACCGGGGUCCAGCAGUAGAUACUGGUGUGCUAGAGGAUGGAAGAGAGAAGUGGAAUUCUCGGAGUAGCGGUAAAAUGCGUAGAUCUCGAGAGGAACACCGAUGGCGAAGGCAGCUUCUUGGUCCAUAUCUGACGUUGAGGCACGAAAGCGUGGGGAGCAAACAGG
rnacentral:rRNA from 1 species